GUGCGUAACACGUAUGCAACUCCCCCUUUCCAGGGCAUAGCCCGAAGAAAUUCGGAUUAAUUCCCUAUACUAUCCACCAGUGGCAUCACCAGUGGAUGAAAGCUCCGGCAGAAAGGGAUGGGCAUGCGUCUGAUUAGCUUGUUGGCGGGGUAACGGCCCACCAAGGCAACGAUCAGUAGGGGAUCUGAGAGGAUGAACCCCCAACGGGCACUGAGAUACGGGCCCGACUCCUACGGGAGGCAGCAGUAGGGAAUAUUGGGCAAUGGAGGCAACUCUGACCCAGCCAUGCCGCGUGCAGGAUGAAGGCCCUCUGGGUUGUAAACUGCUUUUUACAGGGAACAAAUCUCUCUUGCGAGAGAGGCUGAGGGUACCUGUAGAAUAAGCCACGGUAACUACGUGCCAGCAGCCGCGGUAAUACGUAGGUGGCAAGCGUUGUCCGGAUUUACUGGGUUUACAGGGUGCGCAGGUGGCCAUUCAAGUCCGUGUUGAAAGAGCUAGGCUUAACCUAAUUAAACGGAUGGAUACUGAUUGGCUUGAGGCUAAGGACGGUACGCGGGACUUGUACGCGGCUGUCAACGGUCGAAANUUGCUUAGAUAGAC
rnacentral:rRNA from 1 species